AUUGAACGCUGGCGGCAGGCCUAACACAUGCAAGUCGAGCGGAUGAAGGGAGCUUGCUCCUGGAUUCAGCGGCGGACGGGUGAGUAAUGCCUAGGAAUCUGCCUGGUAGUGGGGGAUAACGUCCGGAAACGGGCGCUAAUACCGCAUACGUCCUGAGGGAGAAAGUGGGGGAUCUUCGGACCUCACGCUAUCAGAUGAGCCUAGGUCGGAUUAGCUAGUUGGUGGGGUAAAGGCCCACCAAGGCGACGAUCCGUAACUGGUCUGAGAGGAUGAUCAGUCACACUGGAACUGAGACACGGUCCAGACUCCUACGGGAGGCAGCAGUGGGGAAUAUUGGACAAUGGGCGAAAGCCUGAUCCAGCCAUGCCGCGUGUGUGAAGAAGGUCUUCGGAUUGUAAAGCACUUUAAGUUGGGAGGAAGGGCAGUAAGUUAAUACCUUGCUGUUUUGACGUUACCAACAGAAUAAGCACCGGCUAACUUCGCG
rnacentral:rRNA from 1 species